GACGAACGCUGGCGGCGUGCUUAACACAUGCAAGUCGAACGGAAAGGCCCUGCUUUUGUGGGGUGCUCGAGUGGCGAACGGGUGAGUAACACGUGAGUAACCUGCCCUUGACUUUGGGAUAACUUCAGGAAACUGGGGCUAAUACCGGAUAGGAGCUCCUGCUGCAUGGUGGGGGUUGGAAAGUUUCGGCGGUUGGGGAUGGACUCGCGGCUUAUCAGCUUGUUGGUGGGGUAGUGGCUUACCAAGGCUUUGACGGGUAGCCGGCCUGAGAGGGUGACCGGCCACAUUGGAACUGAGAUACGGCCCAGACUCGUACGGGAGACAGCAGUGGGGAAUAUUGCAAAAUGGGCGGAAGCCUGAUGCAGCAACGCCGCGUGCGGGAUGACGGCCUUCGGGUUGUAAACCGCUUUCGCCUGUGACGAAGCGUGAGUGACGGUAAUGGGUAAAGAAGCACCGGCUAACUACGUG
rnacentral:rRNA from 1 species